UAUUACUCCACCAGAGAAACAUUAAAAGAGGUGGGCAGAGGGGAGGCUGUAUUUUAUAUAUAUCUCAUCACCUAGGGAUAUGGGAAAUUAUGUCCUUUAAGAGCUGGAAUUGCUGAAGAAGAGAAUCACCUUACCCAACAUUGCCCAGCAACUUCUCCC
rnacentral:lncRNA from 12 species